UACGUAGGGUGCAAGCGUUGUCCGGAGGUACUGGGCGUAAAGAGUGCGUAGGCGGUUUUCUAAGUUUGGUGUGAAAUCUCCCGGCUCAACUGGGAGGGUGCGCCGAAGACUGGAAGGCUUGAGUAUGGGAGAGGUAAGCGGAAUUCCUGGUGUAGCGGUGAAAUGCGUAGAUAUCAGGAGGAACACCUGCGGUGUAGACGGCUUACUGGACCAUAACUGACGCUGAGGCACGAAAGCGUGGGUAGCAAACAGG
rnacentral:rRNA from 1 species